UCUUUGUCAAUGAUGUUAUCAGUACAAAUGUCUGAACAUAUGAAUUUCUGUGAUUCUUAUUUGUUUUUACUGAGACAAAGA